UGGGGAAUAUUGCACAAUGGGGGAAACCCUGAUGCAGCGACGCCGCGUGAGCGAUGAAGGCUUUCGAGUCGUAAAGCUCUGUCCUAUGGGAAGAUAAUGACGGUACCAUAGAAGAAAGCCCCGGCUAAUUACGUGCCAGCAGCCGCGGUAAUACGUAAGGGGCGAGCGUUGUCCGGAAUUAUUGGGCUUAAAGGGCAUCUAGGCGGUUAAACAAGUUGAAGGUGAAAACCUGUGGCUCAACCAUAGGCUUGCCUACAAAACUGUAUAACUAGAGUACUGGAAAGGUGGGUGGAACUACACGAGUAGAGGUGAAAUUCGUAGAUAUGUGUAGGAAUGCCGAUGAUGAAGAUAACUCACUGGACAGCAACUGACGCUGAAGUGCGAAAGCUAGGGGAGCAAACAGG
rnacentral:rRNA from 1 species